GAUGAACGCUGGCGGCGCGCCUAACACAUGCAAGUCGAACGAUUAAAGCACCUUCGGGUGUGUAUAAAGUGGCGAACGGCUGAGUAACACGUGGGCAACCUGCCCCUUUCAUUGGGAUAGCCACGGGAAACCGUGGAUAAUACCGAAUACUUCGAGACUUCCGCAUGGAAGACUCGAGAAAGCUCCGGCGGAGAGGGAUGGGCCCGCGGCCUGUUAGCUUGUUGGUGGGGUAACGGCCUACCAAGGCAAUGAUGGGUAGCUGGGUUGAGAGACCGACCAGCCAGAUUGGGACUGAGACACGGCCCAGACUCCUACGGGAGGCAGCAGUGGGGAAUCUUGCACAAUGGGCGAAAGCCUGAUGCAGCGACGCCGCGUGCGGGAUGAAGGCCUUCGGGUUGUAAACCGCUUUCAGCAGGGACGAGGCGAAAGUGACGGUACCUGCAGAAGAAGCCCCGGCUAACUACGU
rnacentral:rRNA from 1 species